GACGAACGCUGGCGGCAUGCCUAAUACAUGCAAGUCGAGCGAACAGAUGAAGUGCUUGCACUUCUGACGUUAGCGGCGAACGGGUGAGUAACACGUAAGGAAUCUACCUAUAAGCGGGGGAUAACAUUCGGAAACGGGUGCUAAUACCGCAUAAUAUCUUCCUCCGCAUGGAAGAAGAUUGAAAGACGGCUCUGCUGUCACUUAUAGAUGACCUUGCGGUGCAUUAGUUAGUUGGUGGGGUAACGGCCUACCAAGACGAUGAUGCAUAGCCGACCUGAGAGGGUGAUCGGCCACAUUGGGACUGAGACACGGCCCAAACUCCUACGGGAGGCAGCAGUAGGGAAUCUUCCGCAAUGGGCGAAAGCCUGACGGAGCAAUGCCGCGUGAGUGAAGAAGGCCUUCGGGUCGUAAAACUCUGUUAUAAGAGAAGAACAAAUUGUAGAGUAACUGCUACAGUCUUGACGGUAUCUUAUCAGAAAGCCACGGCUAACUACGUGCAGCCGCCGCGGUAA
rnacentral:rRNA from 1 species